GAGGAUUCAAAUUCUGACUCUUGUAUUACCUAUGUAACCAAGUACUACAUGUUCAACUCCAUAUUGUUCACCCAAUUGAAUCAGAAAGCAAAAAAAAAGAAAAGAAAAGAAAAGAAAAAAGAAAACAGAAUUAUUUGUUGUCUUCAAUAAUACAGGAAAGAAAGAAGUCUAAGAAGAUUAAAGGAGAAGAAAGGAUCAAAGAAACUUCUACCUGCCUGUAGAAUAACUUUGUUUUAUCUUGCCAUUAGUAAAAGUAUAAAGCUAAUGACAGAUUUCAUCAUCAUGAAGGCUCAUAAAAACUAGGAAUCGGAAAAAAAAUCACAUUGAAUAAUAUCAAGUAGUGUAGGAGAGAGAUGAAUUUACAAGUUAGAUAUAUUAAUUCUGUAUUGGAAUUGCCAGGGGGUGAGUGAUCAUGAAGCUGAAAUAAUUGCUAAUUAAAUUUGGGCAAAAUGGGCAAAAAGCCAGGUGAGUGUCCCUGCCUUCCAAUGGGUCACCCAUUGACUAUCAUUCUGGGCCCUGAUUAAAUUUUACAAAAUGAUUAAGUGAUUAAACUUUGAGUCACUCUGAAAUAAACCAUAGCUCAUCAGCACUAAGCCAUAGUUCACCAUUCAUUACAGACUCUCUCCUUUAACAGGGAAUUCAUUUGGGCUGAAGGUAGGAGUGGGACAGCUACAGCAGAAAAGAGUUGAACAAGUCUACUUCUCUGAAACUAGCAUUUUUUGUAGACAUAACACAACAUAUCAGAAUUUGGUUUUAUAGAAUCUUUAAUUAAUCCAAGUGAUAUUAUAGAUUUCUAAGAGUAGAUCCAUAAAAGAAACAGAUUUUUCCACAGUUAGAAAAUAAUACAAUGAUUGGAAACACCAUGAUGUUCAGGGUCUUAAUACAGCUGGGGCUCAAGGAAUAGUUCUGAUCAUAGUUGAACUUUGGUACCUUAGAAGAGGGGUAGAACAGGUAUACAAUGGAUUUUCUAAAAGUUUAAUGAGAUUUUGUUGUAAGAUGCUUUGGGGAAGAAAAAUGGAAUCAAAAGACCUGGAUAUGAGAUAUAGUUUCACCAUUUAACUCACUACAGGAUCAGGAAUGAAUCACAAUCAUUCUGAGACUCAAUUUCAUCAUAUGCAAAAUAGAUACAAUUUUGAAUCUUUUAUGACCUACUCUUGCAAGAAGAUACUCUGUAAACCAUACAACGUAAUAGAAAUAAUGGUAUUAUCAUCACUUGUCAUUUUAUUAUUGUUAACAAUAAAAAUUAAAA